UUGUACAAUUAAUUAAGGAUAGGUUGCAGCUUAAGGGAGGGGAUUCCAGUGGUAGUUUGCAGGCAUCGGAAAAAUGGGUUCAAGAUCUUUUGUUGUUUUUGGAUCCAAAAGAACCCGAUUUUGAUGAACUAGUGCAAAAAGUGAAAGAGAUUGUGGAAAGCAAUGAAAGUAGAAGACUUCCAAAACUUCCAAAGGGGACUCGUGAUUUUGCAAAAGAACAAAUGGCGAUAAGAGAGAGAGCAUUUUCAAUAAUAACAGAG
rnacentral:misc_RNA from 1 species